ensembl:lncRNA
GCCAGGGAUGUAGCUCAGUGGUUCCCGCGCCUGCCUCGAAAGCAGAAGGACCUGAGUUCGAUCCCCGGUACCAAAAAUAAAAUAAAAAAACAAGCUGGGCACCACCGGAGGCUGAGGCAGAGGGUUGCUGUGAGUUCAAGGCCAACCUGGACUACAUAGACCCUGUCUCAAAAAACCUAAAUAAAUAAAGUAAUAAAGAUCAAAAAGAAAGUUAAAUACUUCCAGCAUACAAUGGCACAGGUUAAAUAUUCUCAUUCCAAAAGGGAGGAAUAAGGGAAUAGACACAAAUUGGACCAAAGCAAGACUAAAACUUAGCAGGGCAAACAGUCCUGCAGCUGCUUGUCCAGCACCUAAGGCAAAUUGUGGUGAGAUGUGAGCCUCAAAGGGAUUGGACAGCCCCACCCCUAUGGCCUUGAUGAUUGCAGCCCACAUGGCCUCUCUUGGGCAGGCUCCACUCAUUGCCUGUGGCUUUCCACAGCAGACAUUCCAUUUUCCUGGCAUCUCCAACUUCCUGGGUUCUCCACUGCACUUUCAGCUUCAUGUACAGCUUCACACACUGCCCUCUCAUGGGGUCCGGUCACACAUUUUUGCCUGGUCUCCCAGACCUUCUGAAAUCUGGGUGGAAGCCUCUUUGAUCCCAUAACUUGCAAUCUGCAUGACUGAAAAAGCACCUUGUGGAUGACACUCAGAUCAGCCUCCAGCUGGAGCAGUAGCUUUGCCCCUGUGAACCAUGGCUGCAUUAGUUCCAUUCAAGAGGUUCUCUAGCCAGCAUUUCCAAACCUUUUCAAGCUCUUCCUGCAAACCAGUUCCAAAGGCUUCUGAACAACAUGGUCAGUCACAGCGAUGACCCUACUCUUGGUACCAGUUUUCUUUCCAUUGCUGGGACAGAAUACCCAACACCUGCAACUUAAAGAAGGCGAGGUACUGGCAAAAAAACCAGACCUGUGGAUCAAUGGAACAAAGUAGAGGAGCAGAAACAAUCCUAAACACAUUCAACUUUUUUACCUUUGACAGAGGGACCAAAAACACACACCAGAGGAAGGAUAGCCUGUUUAAUAAAUGGUGCAUGGAAAACUGGCUAUCCACAUGCAGAACACUGAAUCUAGACCUAUAUCCGAACAUGUACUAAACUAAAAUCAAAAUGAAUCAAAGGUCUAAAUGUUAAACACAGUCUACUGAAAGAUAAAAUAGGUAAAACUCUUGCUUGAAGUCGAAGGCGAAGUCAAGGACUCUCUGAACAGAACUCUAGUUGCACAGGAAAUAAUAUCAAAAAUCAAAUUAAAAAGCUUCUAGGGGCUGGGGAUUUAGCUCAGUGGUUCCACUGCCUGCCUCACAAGUGAGUUCAAUCCCCAGUACCAAAAAACAAAAAACAAAAAGCUGCACAGCAAAAGAAACCAACAGUGAAGAGAGACCCUACAGAAUAGGAAAAUAUUUUCCCAGCUAUUCCUCAGAGAGAGAGGACUAAUCACUACAAUAUAUAAAGAAUUCAAAAAAAAGUUUGUAAACUGAGGUAUCACUGUAGAUAUUUCUCAAAUGGAAGCAAUCAAGGGAUGGAGGGAGGAGAGGGUAGAGGAAGGACAUGAAUAAAGAUGAUGUGUUAUGUACAUGUACCAACUUACCACAAGGAAUGUAUUAUGUACUGCAAACAUUAAUAAAUGAAAAAAUUUUGUGAUCUAAAAAUAAAAAGGAAAACAGGUCUGGC